rnacentral:tRNA from 1 species
CAAAAUAUAGCUUAACUAAAGCAUCUUGCUUACACCAAGAAUAUAUCUGUUGAAUACCAGACUAUUUUG